GAAAUCCACAGACAACCACCACCGAACGCCAGCCUACCAGCUCGAAAUCCGGCCCUCGGGCACCGUUCGCCACCUACGGCCUUCUCUCUCUCUCUACAUCGUUUCCGGCGCCCAGCCCCGGUGAACUGAGCGUGAGUGGUCCGUGAUUUGGUGCCCAAAGCUUCUCUGCGUUCAAGCCAAAAUCUACAAGAGGGCACUUGGUCGGGUAACUUCUCUGAGUUGGAAAUGCUUGUUCAAACACUUGAAACUCAAUGUGGUGACUGGCAUAAAUUUACAUAGCAACUGUGGUUCUCACAUGUUGAUGACUUAAUCGUUCAUUGCAAGUUGCCUCGCUUCUCUCUGCAAAAAUCUUUUAGCAUGUCUGAUUUCGAUGAUAUCUAUGUACUACUAGACUCUGUUAGUUUGAUUGUCU